rnacentral:tRNA from 1 species
CCGGGUGUAGCGCAGAGGAAGUCGCACCUCACUGUCAAUGAGGGUCACGCCGGUUCGAAUCCGGUCGCCUGGG